UACAGAGGUCUCAAGCGUUGUUCGGAUUCAUUGGGCGUAAAGGGUGCGUAGGCGGCGCGGUAAGUCGGGUGUGAAAUCUCGGAGCUUAAACUCCGAAACUGCAUUCGAUACUGCCGUGCUUGAGGACUGGAGAGGAGACUGGAAUUUACGGUGUAGCGGUGAAAUGCGUAGAUAUCGUAAGGAAGACCAGUGGCGAAGGCGGGUCUCUGGACAGUUCCUGACGCUGAGGCACGAAGGUCAGGGGAGCAAACGGG
rnacentral:rRNA from 1 species